AUCCCUUCUUGGCCUUUUAGCCAAAAUCAAGCCAAAAUCCAUUCUUGUCAAUUUUAUGCCAGACAUAUCUUCAAUUUGAGGACUUGCUGUUAAAUGGGUGUGGGGAGUGGAAGGUCGACUUGGAGCUUGCUCCAUGCCUUCACCUAGCAAUGCAGUGCCCCGGGAACAGGAC
rnacentral:snRNA from 1 species